rnacentral:rRNA from 1 species
AUCUGGGCGGCGGAAUUCAGGACGACUGGCGGGUCUCGCGCACGUCCGGUCGUUUGAUAUUUUCGCCGCCGCGUCAGACGUCGCGACCUGUUCGUCCGUCGGUCCCUGCUCGGAGGAAUCGCGAUCGAGUUCGUUGUGGGUGCGUUUCGGCGUGCCACACGGUGAAGACGCGAAUCUCUGGCCGACGACGGACAGUAAGCAGCGGUGUACGGCGUCGUGUCACGCGGCGUCGUUGCCGGUCGGCGACGAUUUCUUCGGGCCUCUUUCCGACCCGUCUUGAAACACGGACCAAGGAGUCUAACAUGCGCGCGAGUCGCGGGGUAUCGAGCGUAUCACGGUGCGCUCGUUACGUGACGAAACCCGUAAUGUUGAAGGCGUAAUGAAAGUGAAUGGGGAAGAUGGUGUUCCGAGUUCACGUUCCGUGAUCCAGUAUCGCGGCCGGACGCCCGCAUUCCCGGGGCGUCUCAAUAGUUCGUCGCGGAUGCGGACGGUCGUCUCUCGGGGUGGCCGUCGGUCUGCGACGGACUGA